rnacentral:rRNA from 1 species
GGGGAAUAUUGGACAAUGGGCGCAAGCCUGAUCCAGCAAUGCCGCGUGGGUGAAGACGGCCUGCGGGUUGUAAAGCCCUUUAGGUGGGGAAGAAGGCUGCGCUCUGAAUAGGGGUGUAGAUUGACAUUACCCACAGAAUAAGCACCGGCUAACUCCGUGCCAGCAGCCGCGGUAAUACGGAGGGUGCGAGCGUUAAUCGGAAUUACUGGGCGUAAAGCGCGCGUAGGUGGUUGUAUUAGUCAGCCGUGAAAGCCCUGGGCUCAACCUGGGAAUGGCGGUUGAAACGGUGCGACUGGAGUGGGCUAGAGGACUGUGGAACUCCCGGUGUAGCGGUGAAAUGCGUAGAGAUCGGGAAGAACACCGAUGGCGAAGGCAGCGGUCUGGGGCCACACUGACGCUGAGGCACGAAGGCGUGGGGAGCAAAC